rnacentral:lncRNA from 1 species
AUGUCUGCUGAAUCAUGGAACACAAAAGCAGCAAACAGAUCAACUUUAUCAGAAAAAUUCAUCGAAGUAUGGCUUGGUCACAUAUUUCAGGUUACAGCCACAAGGCAAGAGAUAACCUUUCCAUGGGUGUUCCCCCUCUAUAUCCUGUUCCUGCCUGUCCCAUGGAACUUAUUGCCUGACAAGUGAGGCCUAGGAGACAGGUUCCCUGCUAAGACUCAUAAUGGUAACACUUUCCAUUGGCCUCCCAUCAUCCCAGCAAGCACGAACAAAAGAUGUCUCUUACCUUUUAAAGUCUGGCUGGGGGUUGAAAAGUUAACCUAAGUGUCAUUUGGGUGCAUAACUGUAACAUGAAAAAAAAAAAAAACCCUUUACAAUAAUCUACUAAUUACUGUGACUCAGUCCCUCUGGUUCAUACAAGACCAGUAUCCACACAUGUAAGGACCAGAAAUCUUCCCACUCACUUUACAGGAAAUUAUUUAAUUUGUGCUCCUGAGACAGUUCUUACCCACUGUGUUACUGGAAUUCCUCUGCCUUUCUUGGUCAAAGAUGAUGCUGUUGGUACUUUUAUUUCUUAGGAUGGAUUUCUCACAUUGACAUCAUCUUUAAGUUUUUUAGGUAUGCUUUUAGUGUUCAUAUGAAUAUUCACUACAACUCUCUGAACUUCUUUCUUCAUUUUUAAAAUAAAAAACUUUGCCAGUUUUGAUAUUCUGUGAUUGUAUACCAAGUAAAUUAUAGAGGAAAGUAUUUUUUUUAAAGAUUUAUUUACUUAUUUGAGAGAGAGAGAAAGGGAGGGAGCGCAUGGGGGGAGAGGCAGAGGGAGAGAGGAACUCAAGCAGACUCCACACUGAGCACAGAGCCUGACAUGGGCCUCAAUCUCAUGGCCCAAGGUCCCGACCAGAGCCCAAACCAAGAGUGGGAUACUUAAACAACUGUGCCACCCAGGUGCCCCUAGAGGAAAGUAUUUAUUUGGGGGAACGUUUUUCUUCUCUUAAGGACUUUAGCCUCUAGUGGGACCCUUUUUUUCCUACCCAGGGUCACAGACACUUAAACAUUAGGCUCUAUUAAUCUGCUUGAGUUUUUUAUGGUAAUGCUAGAUUAAAGAACACAGCCUAGAUUAGAAGCCAAAAUGAGCUUCAGACUCCUUCUUCCCAAAUUGAACUUAACCACCCAAGCAUAAGUAGAACUUGUACACUACAGGCUAUCUACAGAAAUAGGUUCUGCUCCAGCUAAUCUACCGUACAAAGAAAAGAAGAAUGCAUAUCUCCUAUGGGCAGCAUCAUUCCAAAAGAAAGCCAAGGAAGGACUUGGCCAUGGGAAUGCAAUGAUCCUUUUUCUAAAACAAUAAUCACACAAACCAUUCUACCUCCCACAGAAGACAACAGAUGAGAGGUGAAAGUAAGAAGGAUUGCAGCCUUCUCCCUAACACUUCCAAGAAAGCAGAAGGACUAUGUUUUGGGUCAAGGUAAGAAAACAUGAAAAGGGAGAGGUUGGUAUCCCUUACACUUGAUAAAUGUUUGUUGAAAAAAUAAUAACAAAAGAAUAAAUGCCAUUCUGACCACAGUCCAUUCUUAGAAUGUAGCAUUUGCAAACUACCCACAGCCUUCUAGGUAUGAGUGUAUGUUGGAGCCAGGUUUUGGAGGUCAAUUUGGGGCCAGGCAGGGAGCAUCUCAAGAACCUGAGCUGGGUGCUGAGUCUCAAUGCCUGAUAUUACUAGUUGGUUAAAGAGGAUGAGGCCUGCGGAUUCUAAUGACUUUCAGGUCGAUUUCAAGGUAAAAAUUCUGGAGCCUUAUUUUAAAUUCCAAACAAAACAAAUGAAAAGAGAGUUAAGAUGAGGAACCAGGAAGGUGAAGAAAGGAGGGUCUUUUUCAUGAGAAGGGUUAGCAUGGGUGACAGGAAGAAGGGAUCUUCAGGGCUUAACCUGGUCAGAGUUCUAUUGCUAGUUCCAGUUCAUUGAUUCAGUGUUCAGCUAACACCAUGGGAGAGUCUACAGCAAGAAUAAUAGCUCUGCCUCUCCCAAACACACCUGCCAGUCCGAUGCAGGGGUGCUCUUCCUUCUGAUCUACUUUGAAUUCCCCCACUCCAAUUAAGUAGAGUCAUUAAUGUCACAAACAGUUCCAGCAGAAACUUUACCCUCAGAAAGUUUCCAUCAAAACAUGCAUGGAUGUGUUCUCUAGCCCCCUUCAUGGUACCUGUAGUAAUACCUCAAUUUAUAAUUCAGCUGGAUGCCCAAGUAAGUCCAGGUAAGGAGAUAUUUCAUAAGUUACCUUUAAGUAAUAGCCCAGAGUAAUGUUAAGAAUUAAAUUUAAAAGUUCCCCCAAACUUGGGGCACCUGGGUGGCUCAGUCAUUAAGCGUCUGCCUUCGGCUCAGGUCAUGAUCCCAGGGUCCUGGGUUCAAGCCCCACAUUGAGCUCCCUGCUCCGCAGGAAGCCUGCUUCUCCCUCUCCCACUCCCACUGCUAGUGUUCCCUCUCUUACUGUCUCUCUCUCUG